GGGGAGUGCGGUCGCAAGGUUAAACUCAAUGCAAUUGACGGGGGCCCGCACAAGCGGCGGGAGCAUGUGUUUUACUUGGACGCUACGCGAAAAACUUUACCUGGGCUCGACAUGCUGGGAUUAAUCUUGGGAAACCAGGAGGAUUGCGUUCGGGUGUAACCAGCACAGGUGCUGCAUGGCGGUCGUCAGCUCGUGUCGUGAGAUGUUGGGUUAAGUCCCGCAACGAGCGCAACCCUCGCUUUUAGUUGCCAUCAUUUAGUUGGGCACUCUAAAGGAACUGCCCCGGUUAACGGGGAGGAAGGUGGGGAUGACGUCAAGUCCUCAUGGCCUUUAUGCCCAGGGCUACACACGUGCUACAAUGGUCUGUACAAAGGGUAGCCAACUCGCGAGAGUGAGCUAAUCCCAAAAAACAGGCCUCAGUUCGGAUUGAAGUCUGCAACUCGACUUCAUGAAGUUGGAAUCGCUAGUAAUCCCAUAUCAGCAUGAUGGGGUGAAUACGUUCCCGGGCCUUGUACACACCGCCCGU
rnacentral:rRNA from 1 species